rnacentral:lncRNA from 1 species
GCAGGGCACUCGAAGUUAGGGCAUGGUUUUGCUGCCGAAUAUACUUUAACCAGCACUCUGAUGCGACUCACAUACAGACACACACAGCGCAAAAUGAUUUUGUAUAGAUAGGAACGGGCUUGACAAAGGAGGAUGUCUCCACGAUGCACGGGCGCAGAAGGGUAAAUCACCUGUUAGGAACCUUCAUGUAAAUUCACAUCCCACUCUCAGAAACAGGGUUUCCUUUUGAACAGUGGAGGGAUUUUAAACAGAUUUGUACAUUUACACAGGAAAGAAAAUCUUGGUCCAAUUGCUGUGAACUUUAUAUUAAGCACAUUCAUACUCCCUGUCCAGGGUGUACCCCUGCUUUUCACCCGAAGAGAGCUGGGGUAGCUUCCAGCAGAUCCCUGUGACCCUGGUUAAGGAAUAAGUGGGUAUAGAUAAUGGAUGGAUGGACGGACUUUCCUACUCAGUACAGUGACAGAACAGGAGCCUGAGUGGGGUUUGGAGUAUGAUCAACAUGUUAUUUACUCUUUUAUAAGAGUUAAAAGAAAGAUAGAAAGAAAUAUGAAAGACAAGAAAAUAAGGACAGUGCUUCUUUCCCCUUUUCAGUGAUUGUCUUAUAACAAGCAAAUUCAUGUCUAAAGUCAACUCAGUCUAACCUAUGAGAAGUUUAAACUUCUCAUUUGCUACUUUUAGCUGGAUUAGCUUUAAAUAUGAGUUAAUGCUCCAAUUGAACAUGAUAAAACAUAGUGACAUUUCAGUCAUGCCCCUCAUGACUUAAUAGUAAUCAAAUAAACUUAACCUACAAUUAACAAACAGGGAGUAAA